rnacentral:lncRNA from 1 species
UUGUAAUUUAAGUAUCUAUCUUUUUAGAGAGAGAUAACAUGCCAUCUGUUUUGUUCAUUUGUUGAAAGUUAAUUCAAUUAUAAACGUGAAGUAACUGGACUUAAAAUUUGAAAUCUUGAACCGACUGUCCUUAAAACAAAUAGCAAAAGACUUGGUGAUUAGUAUUCGAGGUCCUAAGUUCGAAUCCUAGUUGAUUCACAUUUUCAGCUAAGUUUAUUUUUAAAUGAAAUAAACGAAACAGAUAACGUACUACCUAUCUCUCAAAAAAUAAAAAUUGAAAUCUUGAAUAUCAACUAUUAAGCUCUUAGUCCACU